rnacentral:tRNA from 1 species
UGCCCGGAUGGUGAAAUUGGUAGACACGCUAGGUUCAGGGUCUAGUGACGGUGACGUCGUGGAGGUUCAAGUCCUCUUCCGGGCAU